rnacentral:tRNA from 1 species
UCCCUGGUGGCUCAGCCAGUAAAGCAUCUGCCUGCAAUGCAGGAAACCCAGGUUCGAUUCCUGGGUCGGGAA